GACGAACCGUGCGAACGUUAUUCGGAAUCACUGGGCUUAAAGCGCGUGUAGGCGGGUCGCACGUCGGUCGCUGAAAUCCCCCGGCUCAACCGGGGAAGGGGCGCCGAUACGGCCGGCCUGGAGGGACGUAGGGGGGGCUGGAACUUCCGGUGGAGCGGUGAAAUGCGUUGAGAUCGGAAGGAACGCCCGUGGCGAAAGCGAGCCCCUGGACGUCUACUGACGCUGAGACGCGAAAGCCAGGGGAGCCGAACGGG
rnacentral:rRNA from 1 species